AACGAACGCUGGCGGCAUGCCUAACACAUGCAAGUCGAACGAGACCUUCGGGUCUAGUGGCGCACGGGUGCGUAACGCGUGGGAACCUGCCCUUAGGUUCGGAAUAACUCCCCGAAAGGGGUGCUAAUACCGGAUAAUGUCUUCGGACCAAAGAUUUAUCGCCUUUGGAUGGGCCCGCGUUGGAUUAGCUAGUUGGUAGGGUAAAAGCCUACCAAGGCGACGAUCCAUAGCUGGUCUGAGAGGAUGAUCAGCCACACUGGGACUGAGACACGGCCCAGACUCCUACGGGAGGCAGCAGUGGGGAAUAUUGGACAAUGGGCGAAAGCCUGAUACAGCAAUGCCGUGUGAGUGAUGAAGGCCUUAGGGUUGUAAAGCUAUUUUAACCGGGAUGAUAAUGACAGUACCGGGAGAAUAAGCACCGGCUAACUCCGUG
rnacentral:rRNA from 1 species